rnacentral:lncRNA from 1 species
GGGAUCUGAACAGCUUACUCUGAAACAAAUACUCCUCAAUACCCUUCAAGCAGUUGAUGAAUUGGAACAAGAAAAUAAAGAACUUGAAAGAGAAAAUGAAGAAUAUGUGCAAAAAUCCAGAGAAAGUUCAAGAAGAAAAAUAACGUAUCAGUCAGAACUGCAGAUUAUAUGCAAAAACACCCGUAAAAUUGAAGAGCAAAUAAGAAAAGUGAAUAAAGAGUUAUAUAAUAUUGAAAUGACUUAUGGUGAAGGAAAAAUAAAACUGGAGGAAUUAGAAGAAAAAAUAAUUAGAGAAAAAAUCCGGUACAAGAAUUUGGAAGAGAACGUAAAAAAAUUAAUUCGAGAUGAAAGAGGAACAUGGCAACUGACUCAGGCCAGGAUUAAAGCAAUGUAUGGUGAGCUAGAGCAAAAGAAAAAAGAUAGCGUCAAGAUAAAAGAAGAAACUAUAAAGAAGAUAGCAGACAUUGAGGGACCAGUGGCUGAACUGGAAGCACAAUUUAUUGAAAAUAAAAAUAUGCAUAAAGAAAAUAUUGAGAAACUUUACAAUCUGAAUCAGAGGAUGCAAGAACUAGAUGAACAGAAGAAACAAGCAGAACAACAACUGGAGCACAAAAAGAGUACCAUGAAGAAUCAGUUAACUGAUAUACAGGAAAAAUAUACAGAUGUUACCAGUCGGCUAGAUGAAACCACUCACAUUAUUGAAAAUUUUCAAAACAGAAUUCAUGAAUUAAAUGAAUUAGCAGAGACAAAGCAAAAACAAAUUGAAACUACAGAGAAAUCCCUCGUAGAAUUGAGGGAAAAUUUUAGUGCUGUUAACUGUAAACAGGAGAAAAAUCAGAUGCUAAUUGAUUAUCUCCAGAAUGAAUUAGGAAAAUAUGAGAAGAGAAUACAGCAUGAGGAAAAAACAUAUGGAGAAUUACUAUGGACUAGACAGAAAAAUUUGGAAGAGAUGAAGGUGAGGACCAUUAGAACUGUUUUGUU